GUGAGCCCAGCUUCCUCGAUGACAGAGUAGGGGAUGCAGGAUGAUGCCAAGGGUCUCUGUGUAGCCCAGGCUGGCCUGGAACUCAUAGUGAUCCUCCUGCCUCAGCCAAGUGCUGGGAUCACAGGUGUGUGCACCAUGCCGGCCGAUGGUGGGAUUUUCACAGGCCCCACCGCUCCUGUGGCAGAUAAGUUACCAUGAAACCUGAGCACAGACCAGUGGUGGCCUUAAAACCCAGGACAGAAGCCAGGACAGAAGCAGCACAAAGUGAGAAGGAAGCUCUCGUGGAGCCCUGGCCCGUUCCUGCACUGACGCUCCUGGAAGAGGCCUUCACUGUCCCAGAGUGAGGAUAACAGAGACAAGCCUUCCCGGAAGCCCUGGGAAGGUGGGUCCAUCCAACAGGAGGCCACAAAUUAAACUCGGUUGACG
ensembl:lncRNA